ACGGGUGAGUAACACGUAGGUAACCUGCCUAUGAGACUGGGAUAACUAUCGGAAACGAUAGCUAAGACCGGAUAACUGGUUUUCUCGCAUGAGAGAAUCAUGAAACACGGAGCAAUCUGUGGCUUAUAGAUGGGCCUGCGGCGCAUUAGCUAGUUGGUAGGGUAAUGGCCUACCAAGGCGACGAUGCGUAGCCGACCUGAGAGGGUGAACGGCCACACUGGGACUGAGACACGGCCCAGACUCCUACGGGAGGCAGCAGUAGGGAAUCUUCCGCAAUGGACGCAAGUCUGACGGAGCAACGCCGCGUGAGUGAUGAAGGUUUUCGGAUCGUAAAGCUCUGUUGCCCUAGACGAACAGCAUGAGGAGUAACUGCCUUGUGUGUGACGGUAUAGGAGAAGAAAGCCCCGGCUAACUACGUGCCAGCAGCCGCGGUAAUACGUAGGGGGCAAGCGUUGUCCGGAAUUAUUGGGCGUAAAGCGCGCGCAGGCGGUUAAUUAAGUUGGGUGUUUAAGCCCGGGGCUCAACCCCGGUUCGCAUCCAAAACUGGUUGACUUGAGUGUAGGAGAGGAAAGUGGAAUUCCACGUGU
rnacentral:rRNA from 1 species